rnacentral:rRNA from 1 species
GCGCCAGACUCCUACGGGAGGCAGCAGUGAGGAAUAUUGGUCAAUGGUCGGGAGACUGAACCAGCCAAGCCGCGUGAGGGAGGAAGGUACAGAGUAUCGUAAACCUCUUUUGUCAGGGAACAAAGACUGGGACGCGUCCCCGGAUGAGUGUACCUGAAGAAAAAGCAUCGGCUAACUCCGUGCCAGCAGCCGCGGUAAUACGGAGGAUGCGAGCGUUAUCCGGAUUUAUUGGGUUUAAAGGGUGCGCAGGCGGAGGUGCAAGUCAGCGGUCAAAUUGCGGGGCUCAACCCCGUACUGCCGUUGAAACUGCAUACCUUGAGUGCGCGAGAAGUAUGCGGAAUGCGUGGUGUAGCGGUGAAAUGCAUAGAUAUCACGCAGAACUCCGAUUGCGAAGGCAGCAUACCGGCGCGCAACUGACGCUCAUGCACGAAAGCGUGGGUAUCGAACAGGAUUAGAUACCCGGGUAC